CUCAGGAGUGGGUGAUGCUGGAGUUGGAGCAGGGAGGCGGGGCCUCAGGCGCAGCCAGGCCUCCGGAAGACGACCGGCCAGCCGGGGAUGGACCGGGGGGCCACGCCGAGGACGGGGAUCCCCGGCCACCAUCCGCCCCGAGCAGUCCGGUCUUGACUCACAUGGGCCUGCCCUGCACCUGGCUACUGGGUGGGAGAAGGCUGCCCGGGCUGUUGGGAAACAUGGGCCGGGCUCAGCUGGAGCAGUCGUCAAGCGCCCAGCCCCAGUCCCCGGUGACGGAGAAGACCGAAGCCAUACCGCUGGAGGCGCCAUCCACCGGACCGACCAAACCCCAGGAAGGACCUGCGGACGGGCCUGAGGCGUCGGCGGUCCAGUCAGCCCAGAGCCCUGUGCCAAACCUCAUACCAGCUCACCUCGCCAACGACAAAGACCCAGAGAGUGACUCUGGCCUUCCGGACCGCUCCUCUGAACCCAACCAGCGCCCCCGGCUGGAGGAGCAGAGUGGCGGUGGCGCCGUCUCCACGUCCCCUGCUCCCGCCUCCACGGUCCUCCUGCGACGCGACUCGUGCUGCUCGUCCAAGCUGAGCCGCAUCCCCGUACGAGACCCGACCGCCGGCCCGGAUUCCCCCGCCGCCGACCGCCACCAUCGCUGGAGCAGCCCGGUGCCGGGCUCCGCCUCCCACUCCCCCUCGCCGUCGCUUUCCUGCGACAACCUGCUGCCCUGCGGCGUCCGGGACCGCGGCUCGCGCUCCGACUGGCUGGGCGAGGACCGUGACCCGCUGUCACUGUCGCUCUCCUCCUCGGGCAGCAGGAGUAAGAUUCCGCGGCCCGUCGGCAGCCCUCCGCCGGGACCGGAGAAGCAGCUGUUCUCCUCCAGCCGGUUCGUACCUCGCCCGCCUCCCGGGAAACCGCCCAGCCGGCAGGCUGUGGACCACAGGCGCCGGCGGUUCCGAGUGCGUGCCAGCAGUACCAGUGACGCCGACUUCCUGGCCAGCCUGACCCAGCUGAUGAAGGACCGCAGUGGGGCUCUGUUCAGUCCGCCGCCACGCCCCCGUAGCUCCUCCUCGCUGCAGCGCUCACUGAGCUCCUCCCCGUCGCGCCACGAGCUGCGCGAGGGGGGCGGGGUGUCCUUCGGGGGGAGCCGCUCUCCGUCCAGCUUCUCGGGGUCCCCUCCGCCACCGCGCUACCCCCAGGAUCGGCUUGGCGGGCAGCAGGGGAUCCCGUGGGGUGCGGGGCCCGGCGCCCGUGGGAGGGGCCCGAGCCACGAAGGCAAGGGCAGCGGAAAAGUGAGUCGCUAGGCGGACAGGAGGGGAAACGGGCUGUUAUUCAGAGAGACAUGCCGCGGUGAAACUUUAUGCAACGGCGGUCAGAAUUUAGCCUUUCUCAGCAGGUAACCUCACUGUUUCAUUCUGCAUUAAAGCGUUUCCAUCCUUCUGAACACGACCCAGGAAGCGUGGUGACUCAGACUGUGAUGACCUAUGUACAGACCCUGUACAGUAUCACGUCCAAUCUUUAGCUUUGGCAACAUGUGUAAAUACCUAUUGUGCAACAGGGAAUGUACCGUAUGUAAUGUACAAUAGAAUGUAUGAUAGAAUGUAUCACAGACUGUAAUGUAUAAUAGAUUGUAUCUAUUUAUUUAUUCGUGUGAUGUCUCUGAACCAAGUACUUGACAAAUGUAGCUCAAUUCUGCAAGUCGGAACAACUAGUGUUUCCUAGGAAAACCCUGAGAUUGCCAACUCCUCCCCCUGGUCCUGUGCCCCCUCUAUGUAUGAAUGCCAUGAGACCAAAAAGAUCUGUACUGUAUCAUAUUUAAAGGAGGUCUUGUGUAUAUAUGUACCAUUGAAAACAAGUAUAUAGCGAUAACUUCAGUACAUCAGCAGUCACUGAAAAGGGCAUUUAGACCCAUUCAAACCUCAUUGCUCUUUUUCCUCAGUAUCUACCUAUACAUUUUAAAGAAAAGAAUCAAGUGUAUUCUAGGCUAUUUUAAAGAAAUAACAUUCACUCUGGCAUAUCUAUGUGUUUGUUCACGUUUUCCCCACCAGUAAAAUGUCUUCUCUUUAGUCAUUCGGAGGUGUCAAAAUGUUGCAGUGUUUGAAAAAUCCAUUCAAACUGAAUUAAUGUACAAGGUGCAUGAAAAUCAUUGCAAAUGUUUUUUUUUUUUAUCAUUUGUACAGUGUCUGCUAAAGCGAGUCUGUAUUUUUUAAUAAACUGAUCCCGAUC
ensembl:lncRNA